GAUGAAGAACGCAGCGAAAUGCGAUAAGUAAUGUGAAUUGCAGAAUUCAGUGAAUCAUCGAAUCUUUGAACGCACAUUGCGCCCCCUGGUAUUCCGGGGGCAUGCCUGUCCGAGCGUCAUUACAACCCUCAAGCUCAGCUUGGUAUUGGGCCCCGCCGACCCGGCGGGCCCUAAAGUCAGUGGCGGUGCCGUCCGGCUCCGAGCGUAGUAAUUCUUCUCGCUCUGGAGGUCCGGUCGUGUGCUCGCCAGCAACCCCCAAUUUUUUUCAGGUUGACCUCGGAUCAGGUAGGGAUACCCGCUGAACUUAAGCAUAUCAAUAAGCGGAGA
rnacentral:misc_RNA from 1 species